rnacentral:tRNA from 1 species
GGGGAUGUAGCUCAGUUGGUAGAGUGCUUGUCUCACAUGCACAAGGCCCUGGGUUCAAUCCCCAGCACCACUA